rnacentral:lncRNA from 1 species
UUUAACUUUUACAUUUAUAAAAUCUCAAACUGGGGUUCCUCAAGUUUGAGAGACUAGGAAUUAUCCCAAAAGUGAUCAUAUUCAUGAAGUCAUGGAUAAGAUGGUUACUCAAAUUAUCCGCCGGUUAACCCGUUUUUUAUCCAUAUUAAAUAUGGAUCGGAUCAGAUCGGAUAAUUUAUCCGUUUUUUCAUUACUCGUUUUCGACCCGUCCCGUCCGUUUGCCGCCCUACAUUGGAGUAUUACAAAAAAUGGGAAGAAGAAAGUAAUGUCAUAUAAUGAGGACUAGUUAGAAUCUAGACUACGAACAAUAAAUGCAUAGAGAUAGAGAGAGAUUCGAAUUACCGGUCGAGUCUUGUGACUGAGAACAAGAUGAAUGAGAACAGCAGCCAAAAGUGAGCGGAAAAUAUUACGUCCCAGUUUUCUGAAACCUGAACAGAUGAUAAAUCAUAAAUAUAGUAAGAAAAUUCCUGAAAGAAAAAAAAAUAAUUAGAAAGAAAAUUAAAGGAAACUAUCAAAUUUACCAUAAAUAAUAAUUAAAAAAAAUAGAGAAAAAGUGCACACCUAGAUAUGUUUCCCAAGGCUAUAUUAUUCCAUCUUUGUUGAUAUCAAAGAACAUUACAUGUUUUUCUAAAGGAGUAAGCUGGUCAUGAUUUCCCAUCCCUGCAGGCACAUGCAUAUGUUUUCUCAAUACCAAAAAGGCACACGUUUAAGACAAGAGGGGUUCUGAUGGCAAGCAACCUCCACUUCUAACCAAGAGAUUGUGAAUUCGAGUCUCCCCAAGAGCAAGGUGGGAAAUUCUUGGAGGGAAGGAUGCCGGGGGUCUAUUUGGAAACAGCCUCUCUACCCCAGGAUGGGUGUAAGGUCUGCGUACACACUUACCCUCCCCAGACCCAACUAAGUGGGAUUGUAUACUCCACUAUGUGGAAUUAUACUGAGUUGUUGUUGUUGUUGUAAAAAGCACACUUUUGUAUUUGAACAUUUGACUUAAAAUGAUUUUUGAACUCACACAGUCUUUAUACUAGAAUCUUCGUUUAUGUCAAAGAGAUUCAACAGUUUAUAUGUCCAUAAUAAAAAAUAAAAAAACUUAUUACUAUUCCUAUUUUGCACGCUAUAAUAUACUCCCUCCGUUUCAAUUUAUGUGAACUCAUUUGACUGGGCACGUAGUUUAAGAAAAGAGAGAAGACUUUUGAACUUGUGGUGUAUAAUGAGACACAUAUAUUUUGUGUGGCUAUAAAUCAUUACAUAAAGGUAAAUUGUUUUCAAAUAAGGAAAGAGGUCAUUCUUUUUGGCACGGACCAAAAAGGAAAUAAGUUUACAUAAAUUGAAACGGAGGGAGUAUAUUUUAGCGAAAGGGAUUCAGUUGGACUAUUUUGACUCUAUAUAACUCUGCCGCUGUGCAUGUCUCUAGAGAGUCUGAGAGAGAGAGAGAUGCAUACCAUCAGGUUGAAGGCUGCUUGAUGAAGCCAUUGAAUCAAACUGCAACUACUGAAUGUUUUCUUUGUGAAUGAAGAAGAAAGAAAAAGGAAGAUAUAUAUAUAGUUAAUAAUUAAGAUGAACGAGAUAAUGGUACUUUAACAUGAUUUGCUUG